GGUUGGGGCAGGGAUAGGCGUGUCUGAGCUCAGCCUCUCCUUGGAUGGGGCUUGCUGCAGCUGCUGUGGGGGAUGGGGGUGGGGCUCCUAGUCCAUUGGAGUUAUAUUCCCAGGGAGAUUAUGGCUCCCUCUGCUGAGUCUGCUGAGUUGCCAGGGAAGUGGGGGAAAGCCAGCAGUCACCGGUUUCACCCCGCUCCCACACAGCCUGCAGUCCUAAAGGCCCGUCUCACUCCCACCGUGAGCAGCUUGGAGUCAGUUUCCAGGAAGCCAGUGACCCGGGCUGAGAAUUUGCCUCAGACCACAAGCCUCCCCAUUGAGAAAGCAAGCAGACUCAGUUUUUUGGCGUCUUAGGGACCCCGCAGCAAGUUCCUUCAAAGGGUGUGUGGAUUCUCUCGGGUUUCCUGGUACGUUGCUGUGGUAGUCGCUGGAGCAAAAGUUCAUGAUGUAAAUCUUCACAGGCUGCUCCGUCUAUCCAAGUGGGAGCUGCAAGCAAGUCCUGCCUCCUCUCCGCCAUCUUAACCCCUCAACCAGUAAAUGUUUAAAGACACAAAUCUCAAGCCCUCUCAGUCUCCACUCUUCAAAAGUCCGUCCUUUCCUGACUUUACGUGGCAGAAAGACAAUCUGCCUUGCAGCAAGUUUAUGGAUAACACGGAGUUCCCCUGCAAUGAAUAUGUGAACCCUCUGUUCUUCAGGAUAGCACUUGGGAUGAUGUGGAGUUGCUCAGGCCAGGACCUCCAGUACCAUACUGAAUUGAAAUGGUCUCCUCCCAUCUCCUCACUUGAUGCCCUGCAAUUAUGAAGCUCUGUGCUGCAAACCCUCCUAUCUCUGUGUAUUGGUCUGUUACUGCACAAGAGACAUACAAACCUGUUGGUCUUCUAACAUUUUUAUUAUACUUAUUUAUAGGUGGCUUUCUAUGGCUAACUGCCCCUAAACCCUGAAAUGUUCCAACUAAUAAACAGGUAUUUCAAGAUUUCUGAUGUAAUAGAAGUGCAUUAAUUCCAGGAAUCAUUGUACUUGUGUAAAGUCUGUGCCUAUGGAGAAUGAGAGUGUUGUUGAUAGUAUUGAAUUAAGUAAAGUAGAAAUCAUUUUUAAUUAAAAAGUAUUAUUCUUAGCUAAUGUUUUUCUGUCUAAAUUCACCUAUUCCCCCCUUCACCCUUUGUCUGUGUAGACAGAGCCUAAAGUAAUCUAUGUAAAGAUCAUGCAUAUAAAAAAAAAGAG
rnacentral:lncRNA from 1 species